CGCCGCAUUUCGGCAUACCUCGUGUAGCCACAUAAAAAUGCAGUAUGCUGUAGUUUCAUGGGCGGUACCUCAGCUAUAUCCGGAGGUAUGAACUAUAGCAGUUUCUAGAAUAUAGGUACAUAAAAAUGCAGUGUGCUGUAGUUUCAUGGGCGGUACCUCAGCUAUAUCCGGAGGUAUGAACUAUAGCAGUUUCUAGAAUAUAGGUACAUAAAAAUGCAGUAUGCUGUAGUUUCAUGGGCGGUACCUCAGCUAUAUCCGGAGGUAUGAACUAUAGCAGUUUCUAGAAUAUAGGUACAUAUAAAUGCAGUAUGCUGUAGUUUCAUCGGCGGUACCUCAGCUAUAUCCGGAGGUAUGAACUAUAGCAGUUUCUAGAAUAUAGGUACAUAAAAAUGCAGUAUGCUGUAGUUUCAUGGGCGGUACCUCAGCUAUAUCCGGAGGUAUGAACUAUAGCAGUUUAUAGAAUAUAGGAACAUAAAAAUGCAGCAUAUACCAAGCAGUGUUCGGCUACUUUAUUACCGUGGCUGUAAAGUAUACCAAUCAAUAAUGAGGUCUUGCAAUUUACUGAAGUUACUAAUCCGGCUAAUGUAUAUGCAGCCCCCUGCCGAGAAAAGCCUGCUGACGCAAAAUGCAAAUCCUCUAUACUUUACUUUUAACACUCAUACUGCUUUAGGGCAAACCACAGUUUACAGCUUCAAAAUCCUAAUAGACUUUUCUCAAGACUCACCUAGUUUCUAUUACUAGCAUGUGAACCGCUCAGGAUCAAGCUCAUCGCAGGUAAACAAAAAUGUAGAGCAGUUGUCCCACACUUCCACAACCCCACAAAAACAUUGGUUCAUUUACUGGUACAUUUAAUUAUCAUCGAUUUGCCAUAUAUAAAUAUCACUUGAGCACAUUAACAAUCCAGCU